rnacentral:rRNA from 1 species
CCUACGGGAGGCAGCAGUGGGGAAUAUUGGACAAUGGGCGCAAGCCUGAUCCAGCAAUGCCGCGUGAGUGAUGAAGGCCUUAGGGUUGUAAAGCUCUUUUACCCGAGAUGAUAAUGACAGUAUCGGGAGAAUAAGCUCCGGCUAACUCCGUGCCAGCAGCCGCGGUAAUACGGAGGGAGCUAGCGUUGUUCGGAAUUACUGGGCGUAAAGCGCACGUAGGCGGUUAUUCAAGUCAGAGGUGAAAGCCCAGUGCUCAACACUGGAACUGCCUUUGAAACUAGAUAGCUUGAAUCCAGGAGAGGUGAGUGGAAUUCCGAGUGUAGAGGUGAAAUUCGUAGAUAUUCGGAAGAACACCAGUGGCGAAGGCGGCUCACUGGACUGGUAUUGACGCUGAGGUGCGAAAGCGUGGGGAGCAAACAGGGUUAGAUACCCUGGUAGUCCACGCCGUAAACGAUGAUAACUAGCUGUCAGGGCACAUGGGUGUUUUUGGUGGCGCGAGCUAACGACAUUAAGUUAAUUACCGCCGUCGGGGAGGUACGGUACGGCGAAGAAGUUAAAACUUAAAAUUAAGUAAGUUAGUACGGCGUGAGACGUAGCCGAACGGACGACGACCGAGGGAGGUUAGGAG